UACGAAGGGGGCUAGCGUUGUUCGGAAUCACUGGGCGUAAAGGGUGCGUAGGCGGGUCUUUUAAGUCAGGGGUGAAAUCCUGGAGCUCAACUCCAGAACUGCCUUUGAUACUGAGGAUCUUGAGUUCGGGAGAGGUGAGUGGAACUGCGAGUGUAGAGGUGAAAUUCGUAGAUAUUCGCAAGAACACCAGUGGCGAAGGCGGCUCACUGGCCCGGUACUGACGCUGAGGUGCGAAAGCGUGGGGAGCAAACAGGG
rnacentral:rRNA from 1 species